AAUUCUCAACCCAUACAACUUGUAAUAGUCAGUAUGUGGAUUGGACGUGGGGGUAUUGCAGGCCUAAAGGUCAGCUCCCCUGAAAUAUAUUAGCGGAACGGUUUGCGAUCUGUCACUGGUGUGAUAAUUAUCUACGCCUAAGACUAUAGAUUGCUCUCUGUCUGUUCAGCUUCUAACAGUCCUUGUGGACAACCUUUUGAAA
rnacentral:misc_RNA from 1 species